UCUUGUCUCCCCGCCCUAGAUGCCCCGGCUGCCCGGCCCCCGCCGCAGUCAGGAAUUCACACAAAAUGGCGGCACUGCCGGGACGAGCCCAGAGGCUGAGGCGGGAGGAAGGGCGAGGAGGGAGGAGGAACUGAGAGGCGGAGGCCCGGGCCGAGUGAGUCACGCGGAGGAGCGGAGCCGAGACGGCUCCUCCGAAGACCGGCGGAAACAGCCGAAAGGAAAGGGCGAGACCGAGGAAAGACGGGAAAAGCCGAAAGCAGAUGAGCAGGCAAUAGAAGGCUAGGGUGGGCGGGAAGAAGCCAAAGGUGGUCUGAGCCACUGAGGUACGUGAAGCCAAAAGAAAAUAGAAAACAGCCUAAGACGAUAGGAGUAGGGCUAGAGAAAGAAUGGGGCGCCGGAAAGAGCCGAGGCGAAGAAGGGGGAAUUUAAUCCGUAAAGGACCGAAGGUGGACGGCUGUAGGAGGCGGAAAUAGCCGAAAGAAACCAAACUGGGGUAAUAGGACUAAGAAUAAGUUGAACGGGUGGGGCUGAAAGGCGAUUAAUUAACUGAGAGCAAAUGACUUUGAGGAACUCGCCGGGCAGGAAGUGAGAAGAAUCGAAAAUUGCUAACUUGAAGGAAGGCGGAAAGAGUGUAAGCUUUUAGGUGGAAAAAUGCGAGGGAACAAAAAAUAACCGAAAGCCGGAGGUCGGUCCCAGGAGUCGAAGGUUUCCGGAGAAGAGGGGCUGGAGUAGGGCCGCGCGGCGAUGGCGUCACUAGAUACCUCGGAGGUGCAAUGAAUUCCAAAAACAAGAAACGCUGAACAAAUUGUUUUAGCUGGAAGGGUCAAGAGCCACAAGGCAGCCAACACUGAGCGCUCCCAGCCUGCACGUCAAAUAUCAAACAAAGGAGUACUGGGACAAAAUGUUCACAUCAGAACACUUGAGUACCAAAUUGGGUGCAUUUCAAGGAGUACAGAGGCCC